rnacentral:rRNA from 1 species
UACAGAGGUCUCAAGCGUUGUUCGGAUUCAUUGGGCGUAAAGGGUGUGUAGGUGGCGCGCUAAGUCGGGUGUGAAAUUUCGGAGCUUAACUCCGAAACUGCAUUCGAUACUGGCGUGCUUGAGGACUGGAGAGGAGACUGGAAUUCAUGGUGGAGCGGUGAAAUGCGUAGAUAUCACUUGGAACGCCAAUGGUGAAGACAGCUCGCUGGGGGUGUCCUGACGCUGAGGCGCGAAAGCCAGGGGAGCGAACGGG